CCUACGGGAGGCAGCAGUAGGGAAUUUUCGUCAAUGGGCGCAAGCCUGAACGAGCAAUGCCGCGUGAACGAGGAAGGUCUUCGGAUCGUAAAGUUCUGUUGAAGGGGAAAAAGAGCGGAGAGAGGACAUGAACUCCGAUUGCUAUUACCCUCCGAGGAAGUCCCGGCUAACUACGUGCCAGCAGCCGCGGUAAUACGUAGGUGGCGAGCGUUAUCCGGAUUGAUUGGGUGUAAAGGGUGCGUAGGCGGCCUGGUAAGUCUGGAGUGAAAGGUACCGGCUCAACCGGUACAGGAUCUGGAAACUGGCGGGCUAGGGAGCAGGAGAGGGCAGUGGAACUCCAUGUGUAGCGGUAGAAUGCGUAG
rnacentral:rRNA from 1 species